CAUAAUAACAUGAUGUAAAGGUCAAAAAAGUCAAUUUAGCAUACUACUGCCCCUUUAAGUAGAGAGCAAGCGGCGUCGUUUUCCAAAGAGUUGAUUCAUUGGUAAUAAUCACAUUUCUAUGAAAGAAAAGAAACAAAGUCACUGUAAAUUCUGACUAUAUCAUCUCUCCUUUUUGUGGUGAUCCUGGGUGCUCAUGGUUUGUUUUGCUGCUGUUUCUCAGUCCUUCCACCAGGGGCCGCCUGGUGGGUGAUCUCUGGUGGGCGUGACUGGCAAAGCUGGAACUCUACACACCUGCUGGAGAUUGUCUCAUCUGCGAGGGGCUUAAGAGUGGAGUCAGUCAACACAUCGUUACCAGAGUGUUAACCAGUAAUGGUACUUCAGGCCAUCAGCGUAAACGUUGUUGAUUUCCUUGUGAACCUCCCAGUUCCUCCGUUUUCAGGAUACCUCCUUGUGACAUCAUGGUCCUAACCACUCAUAGCUCUGAAUUCCUGGCUGUUCCUUGUGUACUCUUCCCCUCGUGACGCUCGGAUUUUACCCUUCGGUGCCCGAGCCUCCACUCAAUCACCCCGCAGUAUACUAACCUACCUGGAACCUCUCGUUGGCUGCCUCCCUCGAACUGCUCCCGGUGAGCUGAAGUUUGUACCGGUCCGCCCUCCAACGCCGCCCCGCCGGAUUUCUCCGGACAUCAGGUGGUCCCACAGCUAGAUCCUCCUCUCCGAAACCACCCAGGAAAUCCCAGUACUCACCUCGGCUCUCCUGCCGCCUGGCCAAGGAGCCCGCUCCAGUUGCUGCUUCCCCGUGGAAUCUGCUGAUACUGUUUGGUGCUUUAAUAUUAAAUGCAUCUUUUACUGAC